rfam:Cicer arietinum chromosome Ca3, whole genome shotgun sequence.
UAUGCAUAUGAUGACAAAAAAGACAAGGACAUCAUCACUCCAAUGGAAAAUGUUAACUUAGUCUAAUGGGAGGGAAUCUUUGAGAUGCGUU